rnacentral:rRNA from 1 species
UUGGAGGGCAAGUCUGGUGCCAGCAGCCGCGGUAAUUCCAGCUCCAAUAGCGUAUAUUAAAGUUGUUGCAGUUAAAAAGCUCGUAGUUGAAUUUCGGGGUCAGUAGGUUGGUCGUGCCAAUGGUGUGUACUGGCUUUACUGAUUCCUCCUUCUUGAAGAACUGUAAUGUCAUUAAUUUGGUGUUGCAGGGAAACAGGACUGUUACUUUGAAAAAAUUAGAGUGUUUAAAGCAGGCUAACGCUUGAAUACAUUAGCAUGGAAUAAUGAAAUAGGACGUUCGAUCCUAUUUUGUUGGUUUCUAGGAUUGACGUAAUGAUUAAUAGGGAUAGUUGGGGGCAUUAGUAUUCAAUUGUCAGAGGUGAAAUUCUUGGAUUUAUUGAAGACUAACUACUGCGAAAGCAUUUGCCAAGGAUGUUUUCAUUAAUCAAGAACGAAAGUUAGGGGAUCGAAGACGGUCAGAUACCGUCGUAGUCUUAACCAUAAACUAUGCCGACUAGGGAUCGGAUGAUGUUAAUUUUUUAAUGACUCAUUCGGCGCCUUACGGGAAAC